rnacentral:rRNA from 1 species
CCUCGGGAGGCAGCAGUGGGGAAUUUUGGACAAUGGGCGAAAGCCUGAUCCAGCAAUGCCGCGUGUGGGAAGAAGGCCUUCGGGUUGUAAACCACUUUUGUACGGAACGAAACGGUUCGCUUUAAUACAGUGGGCUAAUGACGGUACCGUAAGAAUAAGCACCGGCUAACUACGUGCCAGCAGCCGCGGUAAUACGUAGGGUGCGAGCGUUAAUCGGAAUUACUGGGCGUAAAGCGUGCGCAGGCGGUCAUAUAAGACAGUUGUGAAAUCCCCGGGCUCAACCUGGGAAUUGCAUCUGUGACUGUAUAGCUAGAGUACGGUAGAGGGGGAUGGAAUUCCGCGUGUAGCAGUGAAAUGCGUAGAUAUGCGGAGGAACACCGAUGGCGAAGGCAAUCCCCUGGACCUGUACUGACGCUCAUGCACGAAAGCGUGGGGAGCAAACAGGAUUAGAUACCCUGGUAGUCCACGCCCUAAACGAUGUCAACUGGUUGUUGGGUGCAUUAGUACUCAGUAACGAAGCUAACGCGUGAAGUUGACCGCCUGGGGAGUACGGCCGCAAGGUUGAAACUUAAAUGAAUUGACGG